CUAUCCGCCUUUGACUCCGGUGAUAAACCAAUUCACAAGACAUCCGUUUUCCAGAUAGUUGACAUUUUUUACAGACACAUGGCACACAGAUAAAAGAUCAUAAAAGCACGUUUUUUAAGUCUUGGAAGAUAAACAUCAAAUACUGACCAAAUGUUCAGCGGAAAGUAUUACAAUGAGAUUUGUAUGGCAGAGAUCAAACACAAUAUAUCUAGAAGAACAUAUACUGACACAUGGAAUAUAAAGAAGAAGCUAGAGUUAUUAUUUCAAAUUAGUCCGUGUUCAGCAGCAAGUAUUACAAUGUGAUUUGGAUGAGAACAAAAGAUGUAUAUGUUGAGGCACAUACUGACCCAUAGAAUAAAGAGAAUAAGGAAAGACAGUGAAAAACAGGAAAUAUUUGAAAGGCUAGAGUUAUUAUUUCAAAUUGGACAUUGUUCAGCGGCAAGUAUUACAAUGUGAUUUGGAUGAGAACAAAAGAUAUAUAUCGGAACUGUUAUGUAAAUGAAAUCAUUCUCGCCAAAAAUAAAAUGGGAAUGUUCUGCUUUCAGAAUGUGAAAACAGAUGAAUUAAAGUGUAUAGCUACAACCUGCUGAAAGAUGUUUUGCUGAUACAUGUGAUAUGGGAUAUUUGGAACUAAAAUUGUUUUUGUAAAAAUAUCAUUAUUUGAAUGGAAUUAUUUCAAACAAGUGUAUUGAAAUCUGUGAUGACAGUUUGUAAAUCUGAUUCAUCCAGUUCAACUAAAUUAAUGCCAAGAUUCUCAAAUUCAAGAAAAAUGUCAUUAAAUGUCAUAUUAUCAGAGUCAGUGUCUGAUUCAGAGUCGUAAAGGUGUUCAACUUGGGUUUUCUCGUUGGGUUGUUGGAUAUUUGCAUCACCUGAAGGUAACAUUGUAGGGCCAUUUGAAUUUAAACAAGACUGUCCACAUUUACAUCCAGGACCGCAUGACUUUCUUUACUUUCUACAUCCACACUGAUUGCCACUACAAUUAGAUUUUAAACACCCACACCCAGCUGUCCAUAAUUUUAUAUUGUUUGAUAUUUUUUCUAAAUUUUCAUCAGAGUCCCAAACAAUGCUUAGUACAUUUUUUUCAAUCUUCCAUCCAUGGUCAUUCAAAAUUGGAUAAUGCACAAAAUUUUGAUUAGCUUGCUGCCAUACAAGUUUAACCCAACAAAAUCUUUUCCAGUGUAAGAAUAAGGCAUCAUUUGAUGGCAGGAAAAAUUCUUCAGAUGGAACUCGACAGUACAGUGCAUCUCUAAUUUUUGAAAGCCAAAUAAAGUGAUUUUCUAACGGGCUUAAUGUUUCUACAAAAACAGAUUGAAAUAAAUAAUGAGGAGAUUCGAUCCUAUCCUUUAAGAAGGCAGAGGAACAUUUCCUCCAAUAUUCACACCCAACUAAACGUAAAAAAAGCAAGAAAUCCUGCAUUUUCUGUGUUAUCACUAUCACUUAAUAUUCCUAACCACCCCUUUACAAUAUUAUUAGAAGUAAUAAAAUCUGGAUAUUUGAAAAACAUCUGAUAGAAAGAAGUUUUACCAUGGUCCCUAAAAAAAGAUACAUAAUCACAUCCAGUAACAAUAUACAACAUCUGAAAAAUUGAUGGUAUAUUGUCAUGAAUGUCGUUUGAAAUGCAUUGUAAAUCUGGAUCAUUUUUCAUGGAAUGAAUAAGCUUAUUCAUGUUUAAAUAUAUGACAUCCUUCUUAAAAGUAAGUUGAACAAAAACCUGUUUGUCUAAAGUUUGUAUAAAUGGUAAACCAAUGUUGUAUGUGUCAUUGUCUGGCGAAUAAAUAAGCACAGUAUCACACAAAGUUUUUUCAGCGUGUAACCAUACUCGACUGUCACCCUCUGAUAUAUUAGUUUGAAAAUUCUUGAUUAUUCUUAUCUCAUUUUGGACAACACAUUUUGAUAUAGACGAAUUGUCAAAACCACCACCAACUACAAAUGUUUGAUUUAAUUUGAUUGCAUUUUGUGAAAGUAAUAAAAACUGUUCACUUAUUAAUAAAACCAGUUGUUUUU